AAUCGGGCUUGCUGUUUUUAGGGUUUUGUUUGGUCUUUUAGAUUCUCUGACGCAGCGAAUUUCUAAAAAGCUUCUGGAAAAAUCAGAGCACACAUUAAACUUAGUCUUUGUACUGCCCAACGGAGAGAGAAGCUGGGGUGUCUCCUGCUUUGACAUCCAUCAGGUGUGCGAUCUUUGCCUGUCUUCAUCCCUUACCUGGACACUCAUCAUCAAUUCAUCCCAGCAGUCACCUAGAGAGACACUGUGCUCAAUGCUGCACUUACAACAGGAGAACAACAGAUGCCAUGACUCCUUCCUCUGAAAUGGAAGCUACAGAGGCCAGAGGAGUGGCAUUCAAAAAAGAAAACCCAAAGCCAAAGAUUUAAAUUACAAUGGUCAAAACUGGUCCUUGCGUUGUGAAUAUGAGCUAUAGACAACAUGGCCUUCCCUGUGAGGACAGGGCUCUGGGGCUUCGGAGGCAGGUGUUUGGAAGUAACACCUGCUGAAAACACCACAAGGAAUCAGAAAUCUCUUGUUCCUAACAAUGUGUCCGAGUUUGCUUAUCAACUGGCUACCUCUGAGGCCUGGAGUGCCCUCAGUAAGGGCACCUGCUCUCACAGGAACAGGAUGCCUCCCGGAGAGGGGAAGUUUGCAGCCCACCUCCCUCAGCUGGCUUUAGAGGCCCAACACCACCCUCCUCCUGCCACACUGGACGCCACGUCUGACAUGAUCUCUAUCCUGCUGCCCUUUUCAACUCCCUGGACUGGGAUCACACAGAGGAGGUCAAUGCAAAGUCCAGCGUGAUUUCUUUGGAAAAUGACUACUUUGGAGCAGGAGGCCUGGCCUCCUCCCCUGGGGCCACCACUCACUUGCUGUGUGGCUUAACCUUGUGGGGUCUCAAUUUCCCGCUUUGGCAUAUAACAUUUAUAUUGUAAUAAAGAGCUUACAAAACGUUUUUC